ACCUUCAUCUGGACAACUCCAUUUUGUUUUAAAGGACUGAGGACAGGAAAAUUCUAGUUAUCCCAGUCUGCUCAUGGAGUCACACACACCUGCCCCUCCUCCAGCGCCUCUAAGGGGAAGGGGGUCAGAGAAUUCAGUGGAGGGGCCAUUCGUGGGGCACCGGUCCAGAAUAUGCUUACUUUGGGCACCAGCCCAGCCCGAUCCACUACUGCCCAGAAGAUGGGAUCUCUCAAGGUCCUAAACCCUUGCAGUACCAGCCACAAAGCUGCACCAUGGCCUGAGCUACCGGAGGCUAAGGUGUUGCUCCCUCCCGGAGCAGGGACAAUGACUUCAGAGGGCAUCACCCUUUCCUGAUCUGUGAUCCUUUCUCUGCUUCUGGAACUGGAAGACCCAGACCCCCUUUCUGAUCACUCCCAAGCCCUACUGCCCUCCUGGACUCCAUCCUCUACACCCACUACUACCUGAUAUGACUGUCUCUAA